rnacentral:rRNA from 1 species
CGGGCGUUAAGUUGCAGGGUAUAGACCCGAAACCCGGUGAUCUAGCCAUGGGCAGGUUGAAGGUUGGGUAACACUAACUGGAGGACCGAACCGACUAAUGUUGAAAAAUUAGCGGAUGACCUGUGGCUGGGGGUGAAAGGCCAAUCAAACCGGGAGAUAGCUGGUUCUCCCCGAAAGCUAUUUAGGUAGCGCCUCGUGAACUCAUCUCCGGGGGUAGAGCACUGUUUCGGCUAGGGGGCCAUCCCGGCUUACCAACCCGAUGCAAACUGCGAAUACCGGAGAAUGUUAUCACGGGAGACACACGGCGGGUGCUAACGUCCGUCGUGAAGAGGGAAACAACCCAGACCGCCAGCUAAGGUCCCAAAGUCAUGGUUAAGUGGGAAACGAUGUGGGAAGGCCCAGACAGCCAGGAUGUUGGCUUAGAAGCAGCCAUCAUUUAAAGAAAGCGUAAUAGCUCACUGGUCGAGUCGGCCUGCGCGGAAGAUGUAACGGGGCUAAACCAUGCACCGAAGCUGCGGCAGCGAACGUAUCACUUAAAACGAUUCAGAAGCUUACGAUUGACGGAGCGAAGCGACGUCAAAGCGUAUACAAAGUCGAGUCGGUUUAAGGAUACGUUCGUUGGGUAGGGGAGCGUUCUGUAAGCCGUUGAAGGUGUCCUGUGAGGGGUGCUGGAGGUAUCAGAAGUGCGAAUGCUGACAUAAGUAACGAUAAAGCGGGUGAAAAGCCCGCUCGCCGGAAGACCAAGGGUUCCUGUCCAACGUUAAUCGGGGCAGGGUGAGUCGACCCCUAAGGCGAGGCCGAAAGGCGUAGUCGAUGGGAAACGGGUUAAUAUUCCCGUACUUGGUGUUACUGCGAAGGGGGGACGGAGAAGGCUAUGUUGGCCGGGCGACGGUUGUCCCGGUUUAAGCGUGUAGGCUGGUUUUCCAGGCAAAUCCG